UACGGAGGGGGCUAGCGUUGUUCGGAAUUACUGGGCGUAAAGCGCACGUAGGCGGCUUUGUAAGUUAGAGGUGAAAGCCCGGGGCUCAACUCCGGAAUUGCCUUUAAGACUGCAUCGCUAGAGUUGUGGAGAGGUAAGUGGAAUUCCGAGUGUAGAGGUGAAAUUCGUAGAUAUUCGGAAGAACACCAGGUGGCGAAGGCGACUUACUGGACACAUAUUGACGCUGAGGUGCGAAAGCGUGGGGAGCAAACAGG
rnacentral:rRNA from 1 species